UUGACAACAGUAAAGACUGGAGUCCUCCUGCUAUCGAAGAGGUACAGAACUGACUCCCAAUAUGACUCAACCCUGACCUGGAGAGAACACCUCUAGGAGAGACAGAGAACAGUUCAGUGUCUAUCUUCUCUGAUGCACCUUCAGAG
ensembl:misc_RNA